rnacentral:rRNA from 1 species
GUUGUAUGGUUAAGUGACUAAGCGUAUACGGUGGAUGCCUAGGCAAUUAGAGGCGAUGAAGGACGUGUUAAUCUGCGAUAAGCGUUGGUAAGGUGAUAAAAACCGUAAUAGCCAACGAUUUCCGAAUGGGGAAACCCACCUACCAUCAGGUAGGUAUCGUACAGUGAAUACAUAGCUGUGCGAGGCGAACCCGGGGAACUGAAACAUCUAAGUACCCGGAGGAAAAGAAAUCAACCGAGAUCCCCUUAGUAGCGGCGAGCGAACGGGGGCCAGCCCUUAAGCAAAUAGUAAGUUAGUUGAACGCUCUGGAAAGUGCGACGAUACAAGGUGAUAGUCCUGUAAACGACAACGAACCUUUUGUGAAAACGAGUAGGACGGGACACGUGAUAUCCUGUUUGAAGAUGGGGGGACCAUCCUCCAAGGCUAAAUACUCCUAAUUGACCGAUAGUGAACCAGUACCGUGAGGGAAAGGCGAAAAGAACCCCUGUGAGGGGAGUGAAAUAGAACCUGAAACCGUAUACGUACAAGCAGUGGGAGCAGACUUGUUCUGUGACUGCGUACCUUUUGUAUAAUGGGUCAGCGACUUACAUUUUGUAGCAAGGUUAACCGUAUAGGGGAGCCGUAGGGAAACCGAGUCUUAACUGGGCGACAAGUUGCAGGGUGUAGACCCGAAACCGGGUGAUCUAGCCAUGGGCAGGUUGAAGGUUGAGUAACAUCAACUGGAGGACCGAACACACGUAUGUUGAAAAAUGCGGUGAUGACUUGUGGCUAGGGGUGAAAGGCCAAUCAAACCCGGAGAUAGCUGGUUCUCCCCGAAAUCUAUUUAGGUAGAGCCUCGUGUAUCACCAUUGGGGGUAGAGCACUGUUUGGGCUAGGGGGUCAUCCCGACUUACCAACCCCAUGCAAACUCCGAAUACCAAUGAGUGCAAUCACGGGAGACACACUGCGGGUGCUAACGUCCGUAGUGAAGAGGGAAACAACCCAGACCGCCAGCUAAGGUCCCAAAGUGUAUGUUAAGUGGGAAACGAUGUGGGAAGGCUUAGACAGCUAGGAGGUUGGCUUAGAAGCAGCCAUCUUUUAAAGAAAGCGUAAUAGCUCACUAGUCGAGUCGGCCUGCGCGGAAGAUUUAACGGGGCUAAACAUGCCACCGAAGCUGCGGAUGCUUGAUUUUAAUCAAGCGUGGUAGGGGAGCGUUCUGUAAGCCGUUGAAGGUGUACUGUCAGGUAUGCUGGAGGUAUCAGAAGUGCGAAUGCUGACAUGAGUAACGAUAAAGGGGGUGAAAAACCUCCUCGCCGAAAGACCAAGGGUUCCUGUCCAACGUUAAUCGGGGCAGGGUAAGUCGACCCCUAAGGCGAGGCCGAAAGGCGUAGUCGAUGGGAAACUGGUUAAUAUUCCAGUACUUCUUAUAAUUGCGAUGGGGGGACGGAGCAGGCUAAUCUAGCAUGGCGAUGGUUGUCCAUGUUUAAGUAUGUAGGCUGAUUUCUUAGGUAAAUCCGGGAAAUCACUAGGCUGAGAUACGAUGACGAGUCACUACGGUGAUGAAGUAGAUGAUGCCAUACUUCCAGGAAAAGCCUCUAAGCUUCAGAUUAUAAGGAAUCGUACUCCAAACCGACACAGGUGGUCGGGUAGAGAAUACCAAGGCGCUUGAGAGAACUCGGGUGAAGGAACUAGGCAAAAUAGUACCGUAACUUCGGGAGAAGGUACGCUGGCUGUGGUGAUGAGACUUGCUCUCUAAGCUACGGUCAGUCGCAGUGACCAGGUGGCUGCAACUGUUUAUUAAAAACACAGCACUGUGCAAAAUCGCAAGAUGACGUAUACGGUGUGACACCUGCCCGGUGCCGGAAGGUUAAUUGAUUGGGUUAGUCCUCGGACGAAGCUCAUGAUCGAAGCCCCGGUAAACGGCGGCCGUAACUAUAACGGUCCUAAGGUAGCGAAAUUCCUUGUCGGGUAAGUUCCGACCUGCACGAAUGGUGUAAUGAUGGCCACGCUGUCUCCACCCGAGACUCAGUGAAAUUGAAAUCGCUGUGAAGAUGCAGUGUACCCGCGGCUAGACGGAAAGACCCCGUGAACCUUUACUACAGCUUGGCACUGAACAUUGAACCUACAUGUGUAGGAUAGGUGGGAGCCUUUGAAACCAGGACGCUAGUUCUGGUGGAGGCAAUCUUGAAAUACCACCCUUGUACGUUUGAUGUUCUAACUUAGGUCCCUUAUCGGGAUUGAGGACAGUGUCUGGUGGGUAGUUUGACUGGGGCGGUCUCCUCCCAAAGAGUAACGGAGGAGUACGAAGGUUAGCUAAGCAUGGUCGGACAUCAUGCGGUUAGUAUAAUGGUAUAAGCUAGCUUGACUGCGAGACAGACACGUCGAGCAGGUACGAAAGUAGGUCAUAGUGAUCCGGUGGUUCUGUAUGGAAGGGCCAUCGCUCAACGGAUAAAAGGUACUCCGGGGAUAACAGGCUGAUACCGCCCAAGAGUUCAUAUCGACGGCGGUGUUUGGCACCUCGAUGUCGGCUCAUCACAUCCUGGGGCUGAAGUCGGUCCCAAGGGUAUGGCUGUUCGCCAUUUAAAGUGGUACGCGAGCUGGGUUUAGAACGUCGUGAGACAGUUCGGUCCCUAUCUGCCGUGGGCGUUUGAGAAUUGAGAGGAGCUGCUCCUAGUACGAGAGGACCGGAGUGGACGAACCGCUGGUGUUCGGGUUGUUAUGCCAAUAGCAUUGCCCGGUAGCUACGUUCGGAAUCGAUAACCGCUGAAAGCAUCUAAGCGGGAAGCGAGCCUCAAGAUGAGUUCUCACUGGAGAUUUAAUCUCCCUAAAGGGCCGUAGGAGACUACUACGUUGAUAGGCAAGGUGUGUAAGCGUUGUGAGGCGUUGAGCUAACUUGUACUAAUGACCCGUGAGGCUUAACCAUACAACACCUAAUGUGUUU